GCAAGGCCUUGCGCUCUUUGAGCGGCCGAUGUCAGAUUAGCUAGUUGGUGAGGUAAAGGCUUACCAAGGCGACGAUCUGUAGCGGGUCUGAGAGGAUGAUCCGCCACACUGGAACUGAGACACGGUCCAGACUCCUACGGGAGGCAGCAGUGGGGAAUUUUGGACAAUGGGGGCAACCCUGAUCCAGCCAUGCCGCGUGAGUGAAGAAGGCCUUCGGGUUGUAAAGCUCUUUCGGCCGGGAAGAAAUCGCAUGGGCCAAUACCCUGUGUGGAUGACGGUACCGGAAUAAGAAGCACCGGCUAACUACGUGCCAGCAGCCGCGGUAAUACGUAGGGUGCGAGCGUUAAUCGGAAUUACUGGGCGUAAAGCGUGCGCAGGCGGUUUUGUAAGACAGGCGUGAAAUCCCCGGGCUUAACCUGGGAACUGCGUUUGUGACUGCAAGGCUAGAGUACGGCAGAGGGGGGGUGGAAUUCCACGUGUAGCAGUGAAAUGCGUAGAGAUGUGGAGGAACACCAAUGGCGAAGGCAGCCCCCUGGGUCGAUACUGACGCUCAUGCACGAAAGCGUGGGUAGCAAACAGGAUUAGAUACCCUGGUAGCCCACGCCCUAAACUAUGUCAACUAGGUGUUGGGUGGGUAAAACCAUUUAGUACCGUAGCUAACGCGUGAAGUUGACCGCCUGGGGAGUACGGCCGCAAGGUUAAAACUCAAAGGAAUUGACGGGGACCCGCACAAGCGGUGGAUGAUGUGGAUUAAUUCGAUGCAACGCGAAAAACCUUACCUACCCUUGACAUGCCAGGAACUUGCCAGAGAUGGCUUGGUGCCCGAAAGGGAGCCUGGACACAGGUGCUGCAUGGCUGUCGUCAGCUCGUGUCGUGAGAUGUUGGGUUAAGUCCCGCAACGAGCGCAACCCUUGUCGUUAAUUGCCAUCAUUUAGUUGGGCACUUUAACGAGACUGCCGGUGACAAACCGGAGGAAGGUGGGGAUGACGUCAAGUCCUCAUGGCCCUUAUGGGUAGGGCUUCACACGUCAUACAAUGGUCGGUACAAAGGGUUGCCAAGCCGCGAGGCGGAGCCAAUCCCAGAAAGCCGAUCGUAGUCCGGAUUGCAGGCUGCAACUCGCCUGCAUGAAGUCGGAAUCGCUAGUAAUCGUGGAUCAGCAUGUCACGGUGAAUACGUUCCCGGGUCUUGUACACACCGCCCGUCACACCAUGGGAGCGGGUUCCGCCAGAAGUAGGUAGCCUAACCGCAAGGGGGGCGCUUACCACGGCGGGGUUCGUGACUGGGGUGAAGUCGUAACAAGGUA
rnacentral:rRNA from 1 species